rnacentral:rRNA from 1 species
GCCUACGGGGCGCAGCAGUAGGGAAUCUUCCACAAUGGGCGAAAGCCUGAUGGAGCAACGCCGCGUGGGUGAAGAAGGUCUUCGGAUCGUAAAACCCUGUUGUUAGAGAAGAAAGUGCGUGAGAGUAACUGUUCACGUUUCGACGGUAUCUAACCAGAAAGCAACGGCUAACUACGUGCCAGCAGCCGCGGUAAUACGUAGGUGGCAAGCGUUAUCCGGAUUUAUUGGGCGGAAAGGGAACGCAGGCGGUCUUUUAAGUCUGAUGUGAAAUCCUUCGGCUUAACCGGAGGAGUGCAUUGGAAACU